CCGAGCACAAACAUCACAUAGUCAGAUCAAUCUUAAUGUCAAAAUUGUCUGGAAUUCUACCCAUUCAGAAAGGAGCAGGACCACAGAAGAAUAAUGACAGUACUUCAACUCUAGCCUUGCAGAUUGGCCCAAUGAAUACCAUGAUUAAUGAUAUCAAAUGCUGCUACAAAAUCAAGAGGAAGAUGAUGGUGAAGAAGUUGAUGGGAGGAUCCCCCUGGCAGAAGAGAAGCACAACCCCAGACAGAAGAACAAACUAGAGGCUAAGGGGAAGGGAAGGAGAGAAACAUCUGCUGCUACCUAGGUUUGAACUCUCAACCUUUCGAGUGGGAGGCGAGUGUCGUCACCACAGUGAAACAAAACACAAAUUAUUUUGGAUUCACACUGCUCUGAAACAUCUAGGGCAAUAUUAAACAACUGAAAUAUCUACG